AAAAACAUGUCUUUUUGGAGUUAAUUUAAAGUCUGACCUGCCCACUGNNNAAAUUUAAAUGGCCGCAGUAUUUNNUAACUGUGCAAAGGUAGCAUAAUCAUUAGUCUUUUAAUUGAAGGCUGGAAUGAAUGGUUGGAUGAGAUACUAACUGUUUCAAUUUAANNNGGGGUAAAAUUUUAUUUUUUAGUCAAAAAGCUAAAAUAUUUUUAAAAGACGAGAAGACCCUAUAAAUCUUUAUAAAUNUCUAAUUAAUUAAUNAUAAAGAUUUCUUAAUUUUUUAAUGAAGAAUNUUAUUUUAUUGGGGUGAUAUUGAAAUUUAUAAAACUUUUAAUUUAUUAAAAACAAAAAUAAAUGAAUUUUNUGAUCCAUUUNNUUAUGAUUAAAAAUUUAAGUUACUUUAGGGAUAACAGCNGUAAUUUUUUUAGAGAGUUCACAUUAAUAAAAAAGAUUGCGACCUCGAUGUUGGAUUAAGAUAUAG
rnacentral:rRNA from 1 species